rnacentral:tmRNA from 1 species
GGGGGUGAUCGGUAUCGACUUGAGUGAAGCGUCAUAUAGGUGGCAUGCCGAGGAAGCCUAGUAGGCCUCGUUAAUCAUCUGGGCACACAUUAAAUGCUAACUACGAUGUAGUUGCAGAAGCCGAGGCUAUUUUAGCCGAAGCGACACCAGCCUUAGUUUAAAAAAUAAACUAAGCCCUCUUUAGCGCAGCGCCUGCGGGUGCUAAAAAGGACUCUAGCAGGCUGGUUCCACUGAAUGCCUUUGGCGGUGGAACGAGACCUUCAAAGGCUCGCCUUAGUCAAUCUCGUCUGUCGGAGUGGCUAAGGUCAAACUAAAAGGCAGUCUAAGCAUGUAGAGGCUUAUAUGAGGUCACCUAAGGACCCGGGUUCAAUUCCCGGCACCUCCACCA